rnacentral:lncRNA from 1 species
GGCUCGCUCUGCACCUCACACGUGAACUCCGGCGAUACUACGUGCUCCGAGCAGCUCGAGUCCGUGUGCAACUUCGGUACUGAAUCGGACGUAUCAAAGUACACGUAAUCGUUUGCGGUCCCCGUCGCCGAUGAUGGAUCAGGGAAAGGUGCUCUAAUAUCCGGCUUCGUAUCCUCCAUUAUUUCCGGCGAGUUCAAUUUCCGGUUGCUUACUUGCCCUUGCUUCUCAAUUGUGCCUUUCUUGUUGUAUAUGCGACAGAGCACCCAAUCAUCCAACUGCAACAAAAUCAAAACCGGUUAUUCGGCUAAUGAUUCGUAGCGUGUACCAUAAUCAGAAUCCGAAAGCAUAAUAAAUAUUUAUCAACGCAAUUAGCCAGUUGAAUUUCACUCAGGUGGGGCCCAACCACUCAAGAACCACAAUCACCGCCAUCACAUGAUUUAACGCAUCAUUGGAGGCUUGUGUAAUUGAGCAAUUCUUUCAAUUGACAAUAACAGUGCGGAUUUUUGAGGAAGGUUAAAAGAGUCAUUUGGCCUCCACGUGCGAAUUUGGAAUCAUGUUCAUGCAAUAGAAUGUCGAAACUACCCCUAAUUUUCGGUGGAAAUGAAAAUUAAAAUGGCUAUUAUACCC